GACGAACGCUGGCGGCGUGCUUAACACAUGCAAGUCGAACGGAAAGGCCCUGCUUUUGUGGGGUGCUCGAGUGGCGAACGGGUGAGUAACACGUGAGUAACCUGCCCUUGACUUUGGGAUAACUUCAGGAAACUGGGGCUAAUACCGGAUAGGAGCUCCUGCUGCAUGGUGGGGGUUGGAAAGUUUCGGCGGUUGGGGAUGGACUCGCGGCUUAUCAGCUUGUUGGUGGGGUAGUGGCUUACCAAGGCUUUGACGGGUAGCCGGCCUGAGAGGGUGACCGGCCACAUUGGGACUGAGAUACGGCCCAGACUCCUACGGGAGGCAGCAGUGGGGAAUAUUGCACAAUAGGCGGAAGCCUGAUGCAGCAACGCCGCGUGCGGGAUGACGGCCUUCGAGUUGUGAACCGCUGUCGGCUGUGACGAAGCGUGAGUGACGGUAAUGGGUAAAGAAGCACCGGCUAACUACGUG
rnacentral:rRNA from 1 species